rnacentral:lncRNA from 1 species
AUCAAUGACCCGAUUAUAUUUUCUAUUUUAAAAUAAUUUACAUAUUCUUAUCAUUAAAACUCAAAUAUUAGAGAUGAUUUUUUUUUAAUUCUUUAAAAGGGUGAAUAUAAACACAAUGUUUUAUUUAUAAAAUUUUAAAUACAUUUAGAGCUUCAAUAGUGUAAAUGUGUAAAAAUUGAUAGACAUGUAUAUUUUAUAAUAUUGAUAUAUAAUAU